UUGAACUUUUUAUUCCUAACAUUGAUAAGAGCAUUUCUGAAGCUUGCAUUGUAGCCGUAAACUUGCUUUUAAACACUCCAUUUUGACAGUAGCAUUUAGUAAAUCACUCAAGAUGCACGCGUUGUCGCUCCUGACAUUUGGGAUCGGAAUCGUAUUCCUGCUGUUCCUGGGAAGCCUCGCGGGGCAAGAGUUGGGACCACCAGAGGAACCCUAUUACAAAAUCGCUGCUGGUCCUAAUACACGAACAACACUUAACACGCCCACAUCAUGGAGCGAUAGAGUCUUUAGAUCAAACUCAACCGGACGCCCUCGCAGAAAGUAUAAAGGAAAAAUAUAUAAAAACACAAGAAGUUAACUGGAUUUUAUUUUUUUUUUUCUCAAUCGCACCGACGGAAGAAUAAAAUCGAAAAACUUAAUCGAUUUUUGCUGCACUUAUAAAGGAUUUUUUUACAAAAAUUUGGUUUAGAGUUUCUUUUUAUUUGUCCUCCGUUUUGAAAUGCUAUAUUUUGUAUUUUAAUUCAAAACCAUAUCGAAUGAGUUUUAGUGGUUGAAAAUUGUCUCUGAUUCAGAGAACAACAAAACUCAAAGCAGAAAAUACCACUACCAACUCACUGGAUGACUAACGAAUAAGGAAUACAUACCACUUAAGUUCCAUUAUUUCGUAAUGUAUAUAACAAAUGCGUAUUUGAUGUAAAGCCAUACUGUUUAUCCUUAAUAAUCAAAAAUAAAAUAAUAAAAUUCUACAAAAUCAAAAAAGAGAUAAAAGAAAA